CAUUGUCGAAAUGGAACGGAAGAACGACCCGAGAACAGUCAUUGCGUCCGAGAUAGGGCCUGUGGGCAUAACGCUUAUGCGGCUCGCGUCGCAUCGGCGUGGAAGCCUUCACGAGGCCCGCGUCGUAUCGACGGAAAAACAUUUUCAGCACGGAUCGUGCCAAGGAGCUGCAUGGAGAGAAUCGUCGUCCCGCGCCUUUGGUUAUGCCCUCGUUGCGUGACGGUAGGCGUGGGACGCACGUGGACUCUGCUAAAAAGUCUAAAUGACUCUCGGCAACGGAUAUCUCGGCUCUUGCAUCGAUGAAGAACGUAGCGAAAUGCGAUACUUGGUGUGAAUUGCAGAAUCCCGCGAACCAUCAAUUCUUUGAACGCAAGUUGCGCCCGAAGCCAUUUGGCCGAGGGCACGCCUGCCUGGGUGUCGUGAAUCCCCUUGCCCCUGAGCACUCGCCAUCAUGCAUUCGCAUUGGGCGGGUCAAUGCUCUGGCGCAGAACGUGGUUCUCCCGCGAGCUCUGCACGCGCGUUGUGCAGAGGAGCGGUUGGCCGAAAUUCGAGCAGGGACGUGACGGAACCACGCCGGUCGGUGGAUCUAAUGAGAUUGGCUGCGUCGUGGUCUCGGUACACGUCUCGCUCUGGGCUUUGACGAUCUCGAGUGCGA
rnacentral:rRNA from 1 species